ACUUUACAUGUUUCUUGUAUAAAAAGAAACUUUACAUGUUUCUGCUUAUAUAAAAUUGAAAAAUCUUGUAGGAAAGGCCGAAAUCCUUAUCUUGUUUACCUGAUGUGUUUUUUGUCUCGGGACCAUCAGUAGUCAGGAUGUCACCAUCCAUAUGUGUACAAGAGAUAACAAGUAAACUGAAAGAUGGUCCUAUGUUUACUGCUUACUGCUCACUGAAUCAGGAUUCAGUCGUCGUCGUCGUGUCCAUGUCCCCGUCCCUCCCCCCGAUAUUUAAGAGACCAGUAAAUUUUCUAUUAUACCUGAUGAUUUAAGCAGUAGUAAGGAACUUAGACAAAUUUCUCAGCUUAGUUGUUGGCCCAGAACAUGUAUUAAGUAUGGUUUAACAAAACUGGAAAGUGUCAGAAUGUAAUAAAAAACAGAGUUUGAUUUAAACUGUCUCCUUCUUCUUCCAACUUCAUGUAAAGGAUAAUGUUAAGCUAUGUUAAUAGCAAAUUUGCUCCCUAUAAAAGCCCUGUUCCCACCUCUCGGGUUUUCCAGAAGUUUAGGGGUGUUGUGUAGAUAUGGUUGCUGCAGUUAGCUGCCAUUAAGAGAAACGUCUUACUGGUUCCUGUAUACCACUAUAAUAGGCAGUUUUGUUGUUUGACAUAUGAAUAGUAUGAGCAUCUCUUUCAGAGUUAAAGUUUUAGAUCACAUUUACAGCAACUUUGUAGUCUCAUUGUAACAUUCAGCAAACCUCUGACAUGUCUGCUUUAACUAUUUUCUUUUUGUCUUAUGUCUUCUCUUGGCAAUGGUUUCUAACAUAAAAAUGUGAGAAAUGCUUCUGCCUUUACUUUGCGUUGUUCAUUGUUGCUAGGAAAAUAUUAGGAAAACUGUUGAGCAGUUUUUCUCCGUGUAUGAAGGACUUAUACAGAAUCUGAGAAUCUAUAAGUUGCGCCUUUGUAAUUUCUUGUUUGUAUAACCACUAGGCAUAUUUUCAGAAGAUAACUGUAUUGUUAUGUGAUGAAACUUGUGUUUACUGCUGUUACAGAACAGAAAAUCUUGUGCAUAUGUGAGCAAUAAAGCAGAAAUACAAAUUUACUACUGCCAGAAUAUGUGCUGCUAAAAAUGUAUAUAGAGAUGCUGUCAUUUCAAUUUUCAGAAGAAAAUGCUGUCUUUUUAACUGCAGAAGAACAAGGCUUUGUCUUCCUGUAAUUCUGAAGUGAAAGUUGUCAUCAACAAGAAAACUAAAACCUUUUAAAGAUAGGCGUUAGUAGUAGAAUGCUGAAACAAACUUCUGGAUUAGCUUCAUUGGCUUUCCCGCUUCUUUUGCAUCCCAAAGCAUAAGCUUAAAUCGUCUCAGAAGGACAAGGUCCGCCAGUUUAUGGCAUUUACCCAGGCUGGUGAAAGGACUGCUAUAUACUGCUUAAUGCAGAAUGAAUGGAAACUAGAAGUGGCAACAGACAACUACUUCCAGAACCCAGACUUGUACUACAAAGAAUCCAUGAAAAAUUCAGUAGACAGGAAGAAAUUAGAACAAUUGUAUAAUCGAUACAAAGACCCACAAGAUGAAAAUAAAAUUGGCAUUGAUGGGAUUCAACAGUUCUGUGAUGAUCUAAGCCUGGACCCAGCCAGUAUCAGUGUUCUGGUUGUAGCAUGGAAGUUCAGGGCAGCUACUCAAUGUGAAUUCAGUAAAAAGGAAUUUGUUGAUGGCAUGACAGAGUUGGGGUGUGACACCACAGAAAAACUAAAAGCUUUAUUGCCAAGACUGGAACAAGAGCUAAAGGAUCCAACAAAGUUCAAAGAUUUUUAUCAGUUUACUUUUAACUUUGCUAAAAACCCUGGACAAAAAGGUCUAGUUUCCUGGGAUCAAGCAAGAGAUGAUACAUGAGGAGGGCAUUGAGACUUGAAUCAAAUAUUACCUCAAGACCAGAAGAAUGACUAUCUUUGCAUCCGAUCUAGAAAUGGCAAUUGCAUAUUGGAAUUUAGUCUUGUCAGGAAGGUUUAAAUUUCUAGAUCUCUGGAAUAAAUUUUUGUUGGAGCAUCAUAAAAGAUCAAUUCCAAAAGAUACUUGGAAUCUUUUGUUAGACUUUGGAAAUAUGAUUGCAGAUGAUAUGUCCAACUAUGAUGAAGAAGGAGCGUGGCCUGUUCUUAUAGAUGAUUUUGUGGAGUAUGCACGACCAGUAGUCACAGGAGGAAAACGUAAAACUUCCUAACCCCGGGCUUGUCAAUAUGGACUAGAAGUGCGCUCUGAACUGCAUUAGGUAAUGAAGAUUUGUUGACUGAUAACUGCGCAUUGUUGCUGGUUUCAGUGGUCGUGAUGACAUUCUGCAGACAAAACUGAAAUUCUUCCUUUCUGCCUAACGAAAAUGAUGGCUGAAUUGUGGACACUUCAAGAACAAACUCAGAAGAUAGUCCAGGCUGUUUGUAGGCUAUUGGCUUCAACUAUUGUACUGGUUGUAUCAUAUAGGAUGUAGAUUUUUGCAUGAUUUUAUACUUCGGAGAAGUUUAACUAGAGGCCAUUUUAUUACAGUUUUGACAGCACAGCAUGCAAUUCAGUUCGUGAUCCAAAGUGAACACCAGCAGUUACAUAAAUAAAACUGUAUUAUAUUGUACUUAUAUUAAAAGCAGUAUUUGUGGUAUAUAAAUUAAAUCCCUAAAUAAAACUUACGCAGUAUGUUGUAUUUUUAUAAAAGUGAGCUCCGUGGAUCUGUCCUAAUAGAGAAUUGUAACAAAACAAAAAAACUUAUGCGUUUUUUUUUUUUACUUGUUGCCAAAAUUUUAAAUUUGUAUUUUUAAGUCUUAGAUGUAUAGAUUGAUUACAUCCAGCCUUUUGUUUUCUCCCAGUGAGAUUAACUUCCUCAUUAUUGAAGUGCUUGGACAUGUGGCGUUGCUGAGGAAGGGCUGCUGCUCUACACUAUGUUGCAACUCCAGCUUUUUUUAUUAACCAUUUUAAAGUAUGCAUUAAACAACCAAAGAUGCUUUUAUAAUUCCUGUUUGAUUAUCGUAAUUCAGUUAGUCUUCAGUUAUGUGUUUUAUUUACUUUAUUUUAAAUAAUGAACUGGUGGAAUAUAACUUUUAGUUU